GCCCGAUGUUACCGACGUUGCUGCCACCAUCGCCGCUGCUGUUACUGGCGAAAUUGUCGAGUUUUCUAUAAUAUUUAUUAUGCUACUGUUGCGGGAUCACUUGGUUGUUCUGCGGCUGCUUUUGCUCUACUCUGUUUCCCGCUGCUCUGCAACGUUCUGUUGUUCUCUGGAACGGCGUCCGAUGUCCGGGCGUCACCGUGAGGUCAUUCAGGCAGCAGCAGGCGCCCCAACCAGCUCCGACACCGGCGUCGUCGUUGUUGUUUCGGUCUCCGUCCGGCGAGACUUAUUCGAGCCACCGAGUGGCCACAGACAUAGGCAGGCCGGCGAUAUUUUCCCAUUGAGCAGUAACGUGCUUCAGCUAUGACACCACCACAGCGGCUGUUGGCAAGAAACAACUGCAGGCUCCAACGAUCUACCCAUACACAUAUAUCGAUGUCCAUGUGAUACCGAAUCAUUCUUCGGCAGGCAAUGAGAAGGGUGCGAACGAAAGCAUUUCUGCACAAGUUGAACAAAGACUUUGUUAGCAUCAUUGGCAGUACCCAUAUUACUAGUAGCACUAGUAUGGAGUCUUUGUGAUGGUGCAGUGGCAAUGUGUUUGUCUACCAAACAUAGACACAUGUGAAAUCCAGAUCCGAACCCGGACGUAGCCACACUCCAUUUAGUGCUGGGGACCACUCAUCUCAGGCAGUGCUAAAAGGCUGCACCGCACUUCGUGCGAUGCAACGUUACGGGACGCCGCUGUCGUGCCAGCACACUUGCUGCAGUUAUUGAUCCUCCGUCCUCCAUGAUGUUGACGCAGACUCUUCUUGCGCACUCCCGAAACCGCUUCAUCGGCGGGGUCGUUUUGGGCCGACUUGCCAACCUGAUCUCCGCAAAACAUUAGCAUUACCAACGAUCUUUGGAAGAAUCAGUAACGUCUCACUAUAGCAUCAUUACUCGAAAGGGAUUCGCGUCAGCAGUGGUCCUCCUUCGCCGCGGCCACCAGCGACGCCGCCUGAUUCCGCUUCCUCUCGUUCUGUCCGUCCCCAGCGUUGAUACCACGUCGCCGCCACCACGAGUAGAAUACGGAGAAGCGUAGUACUCAGCGCUGUGAGCGAUGUUCGCAUAGUCAAACGGCGCGUUGCCUGUUAUUACCUACCUAAGGCAGUUGUUGAGGCUGUCGCCGUCGCUUGUGCUGUCGUUGCUGCUGCAUUUCUUACAGCUGCCGUUACCGUUGUAGCUAUCGGGCAUCCGCAACGAUGGUGCUGGCCGAGUCUUCACGUAUGGUCGUGGCAGCACCGUCUUAGGAGGAUGGCCAGCGAAUGUCGUCGGCCAGCAAACGAACAUGGAGGACGGGUCUCCUCCAGUACAACUGCUAGCACAACUACUAGCACUAAGACUACUCGCUGCUUAAUAAGGAAGCACAGAUUAAUAUAUAUUAAUUGGAUUCCAUUAAGAGUGAAGAUGAGUGCAAGGAAGCGGGAUAAAGGCAGCACCAACAGCAGCACGGUAGCGACAAGGCAGUCGAGAAGGCCCAUACCAACAGAUCAGUUUGACGAAGAACUAGAAGCUAAAGAAGAAAAAAACAGCGGACGAUGAUGGACUGGGAACUGCGAAUCGACGAACAAACGGACGGUCGGUCGGUCGGUCGGUCGGUCGGACGGACAAACAAACAGUGGAUAGAGAGAAAGGAAAGAAAAAGAAAAAUAGACGACGAUGACGGCAACAAGAACGAGUGCAAACCUUAUAGAAGCGCUGAUGAGAGCAGUAUCUCAUAGCAUGCGUCAUAAAGGUUCUACUGAGUCUGCCGUCUCAGAUUCCGUGGCUAUCAGCGCUCAGGCAAAUACUAAUGGUAUGAAUAUUCUCGCUGGGCAUGAGGGGACGCGGAGUGAUGGUGCUGACAAAUUGACUUCACCGAGAUCGCCAUCGUUAUCAUGCGCUUGGUCAGCGGGACAACAAUACAAGUGAACGAAGCGACUGGAUAGCGGUGCGCGACCACGAACAUGUGCAUGCAAGCACGAAUGACCAUUCACUCCACGUGUUAUAAUGCAAUAGAGUAAUUAAUUAUAUGAGUCCUGUCGAGCUGAACAUCGUGCAAGCAGUUUGUGAAGAGACAGGAGCUGAUCUUGACACGAGAAGGGUCAAAUUGUGACAGGUGUUGUCGUCAACAACCAGCCCAACAAUUAUACUCCCGUAUCACCAGAAGGCCAUCACGAACCCAUUCGAUCUUUGGAACCGGAACAUACCUUCCUGGAAGUACUAUUCGAGCAAGUUCUUGAUUAGCACACAACACGAGCGCCUUUUGUCCAUCUCCAGAGAUUUUAGCAUGAUGUCGUCAUGGCCACGGAGACGUCCACAUCCCGCUGAGGUUGCCCCGAGCGAAAGCUAUGCCUAUGCAAAAAUUCUUUUGCCUCUUUCCCAUAUGUAUGUAAACAUUUCACUUUUUUAGCAGAAAUAUUUCUACAUCUAUAAAGAUAAUUACGCAAUCGAUGCAUUGUUGUAUAUCGCCUUGUUCCUUCAUACCGAUCCCAUUUAGUAGAGUGUCGUACCGAUCACUCUGUAAAGGAACUAGCAACUGAACGCGGGUCUACAUACGCCAUUAUGCGUUGAUUUUCGAUACUGGUAAUUCCUCAAUUUGCUUGCAACUUCCAGGCGCUACCAUGCUCAUUUGAACUUCUGCUUUUUCUUCUAACACUCACUGCCUCGUUUUCACCGAAUAACUUUUAUCCAGCAUUCUAACAAUUGAAAUCAAAAUAGCGUCCAACGACGCUAUUACGACUCACUGCUAUGAUACUGGUAGGUAAACGUCAUUUUCUUUCUCCAUAUAUCGUAUCUAUGUCGUAGCUUGUCGUCGCUAGCGAAAAUGAAUAGUCAUCAUAGAACCCUUCUCUGGAUAGAAAAGAAAAGAGAUUUUGUCCAGGCGCCUAUGGUCCUUUCGGCGCUUGUCGUAGACCGAUUGGCUUGUAAUGUCAAUCAACGUGGGCGCCAGCUAGCGAGCUCAAAUCCAGUCGAUAAUGAUUUUUGACGCACUCGUCCCGCUUUUGAUCUCACUCCUGCUCCUUUCGAUACGAAUAUGUAUGGCGUUGCUGUUGUCGUUAUUGCUACAAUCCGUUGUUGAUAUCUCUAUUUUCAAUUAGCAGCAUCCUCAACGGGCGGCUCUCUGUCCCUACCCGCCGUUCCUCUUACCGCCGUGAUCGCUAUUGCGACGGCUGAGCACCUCUCUUCGUUACUCGCCGGUCCUAGCUGCGACUCUAGUUGGUUCGCCGGCAUCUGGCAGCGCUGUUCGAUGCUCGAGGCUUGAUGCUAGCAUUAGCGAACGAUGGACGCAAACGAAGGAAAUGAAACGUUUGAAAGAAAGAAACACAUCAUAUGAUGAGAAUUUGAUCAAUUGGCACCUCUCAGUUGUCGGAACGGAUGGAGAUGAUGGAUGUGGACAUCCCCGACUGCGGGGCUGUAAGGUAGACAAACAGGCGUAGAGAGAGAUACAUCGAUAGGUAGGGAGAGAGAGAGAGAGAGAGAGGGGGGCAGACGACUCUGGUUGAGGGACCCGGCUGGUGCGGUGGCUCGUCUGAGCUGCUGCGAUAACUAUUGCAUUGAAUUCAACAACAAAACAGCGUCAGCAUCACCAACAUCGGCCACAACAGCAACAACGGAAAUCGACAAAAUCCCUUUGGCUAAUGUGCGAGUAAAUAGUGACGGACGAGCAGAUGGACAGGUGGCAAUGCAGGGGAAGGAAAAUGAUAAUAAUUAUUACAUUCUGCAUUCGUAUCGUUUUCGCUAAAUAUAGAGACCCAAGUUAAACCUAUAAGCCACGAAGGAGUAGGGUAUGGCUACGCAUUCAUAUAAUUAAAUUAGUCUAAUGGGCUAUAAAUAGAGAUAAGAUGCUGGAUAAAGUUCAGUUUGUUCUAUUUAGCAGAAUCAAAAUCCACUGAACAUCUACCUGAGACCGUUGAAUCGCACGCUCGGCUUUCCUUCUUAAUUGACACUGUCCGCUUAGUUUAACAACAGGGCGAUUCAGUAGCGAGCCUCGCAAUUAGUGGGUUUGUCAGGUCGUUUUACGCUCUGUGCUUUGUUGUAUUGUUGAAAAAAUGGCACCGAGAGAAGCCGAUAGAUGCAGAUUCGUACUAAUAGUUAUAUGCAAUAAUUGUACAUGCACCAACGAAAAACCCAUCUUCGUAAUGAUGAUGAUGGCCGCGCUGAUUGCAUGCCAUUUGUACGUAAGGCUGACGACGUCCUUAUCUUCCAAGAUCAUCAUCUCUACUAUACAUGUGGUGUGUAAUGAAUGAUUAUCAAUGGUUGAGAGACUGAGCCUCAGUGAAAGCCUGAAGUAGAAGAGAUGAGCAAGAUGCCGACCGCCUGUCACUUAGCAUCGAAUCUAGCAGUAUAAUACAACAGCCCUACGACAAUAAAACAGACAGCACUCAGUUAAUCUUUCUGGCUGUGGUGCCAGACCGCGCGUUAGAGACUCGGUACACCCCAUCUUCACCGAUUUUUCCAUCUCGGACCUUCUGAAAAAGAUCUCGUAACAAGAUACGAUGCCGUUGAACGAGAUAAUGCAGCAAAAAAGCAACGAUUUCGAUAAUGAGACCGAGAAGGGGGCUCAGAGUGAAAAUUACAUUAGGCAAAUUUUCUGACAGCUGGACUGACACCGUGGAUGCGUGCACUUUCAUCAGCAAAUUGAAGUGAGUAGCAUCAGCACCCUGCCAGGGCUAAAAUAUGCUGUUGAUGGUGGCUCUAAUGCUGUCGGUAUUGCUGUUCGAGCGCGUAUUACCUACCAAUGCUGCGUUUAGAGUCUCACUCUUGAAGAUGGCUAGGCGACGGAUGUACCGCAUCGAACCUUAGCUAAAUAACCAGGUUGCUCGGGGUGCCUGUUUUUGCGUGCCGAAGACCGUGUGCCAUUCUGUCAAGAUAGAAAGAUAGAACUCUGAGGUGCUCUUGCUAGGGUGCACGACUCGAACAUUAUAGAAUCUGAUUCGAAAUUAAGAUAGCAUAUCUCACCGGAUGGAAUCAUUACCGGUACGACAGUCAAUGCACGAAAGUUGUGUGCUUGCGAUAUGAACCUUAUUACAUUUGACCCUGAAGGAAAACACUUGUUCCGUACCGUCACUUUUCGAAGUAUUAACACUCCUAACUAACUAACUAACGGUGUGGUUCGCGUUUCCUAUUGGCCAUUUUUAAUGUGUACUAUAGAAAAUUGCUCGGGAUGUCGGACGAUUUGUAAUGUUGCCAAAUGAAAAAAGAGCUAGAAAUGCUGCCCAGCCAAAUCAGAGAAAAACCUAGUAGCUAGAA